rnacentral:lncRNA from 1 species
UUUUAAAAAGUUGAGAAAUAUAAAAGUCCUCUGUUCUAAAGACUUUUGUCACAGUAGCCUAUGUUUUAAGAUUUCUUAAGGAUAUCAAAGUAAUAUAAGAGAGCAAAAUAUUUGACUUUGAAAAUCCUGGAGUUAUCAAGGUAACGUUAAUGUCCUCUGGCAUAUUCUUUUAAAGAAGGAUUUCUGUCAUGUUGAACAUGGUUUAUGAGAGAAAGGGAAUAAAAAUGAAGACAAGAUUUGGCCCAAGCAUUUGCCACUUGUAAGGGCAUAACGGGAGAAAUGAACACAUUGCAUGAAAUAAGCAGCAAUGACAACAGCAACACAUGCACACGCACACACGAAAGAUGAGACUUCUGCCUUUUGCUUCCAAGCUGUUCAUAUGGUGAUCAUUUAGCCAUUUCUUCCAUAAACUUCCUUUUAUCCUGUGGCUGAACUGACUGGCUUCACUUCGAGAUCAGCUCCCCACCUAAGAGCUUGGUGUCUUCACACCAGAAGCUAUCUGCGUUGCAUGAUCUCCACAUGUCUUCUUACUCCCCUCCAGUCCACCCUGCUUCCCCUCUACUCAUCUUCUUCAGCUGAGAGUCCCUUCUAGAAAGAUCAGACGUGUGUCAGCAUGGUUUCUCCUUCGUCUCUGCUCCAUGUCUGCAGUAUCAACUUGGACAUGGUGGUGUAUUGAGGACCCACACAGAAACUGGGUUCUUGUGGACUCUGUUGGAGCUCUCAUCUCAACCUGACAACCUGGAGAUGG